UGGGGAAUAUUGGACAAUGGGGGGAACCCUGAUCCAGCCAUGCCGCGUGUGUGAAGAAGGCCUUAUGGUUGUAAAGCACUUUAAGCGAGGAGGAGGGUACUGGUAUUAAUACUACCAGGUACUGGACGUUACUCGCAGAAUCAGCACCGGCUAACUCUGUGCCAGCAGCCGCGGUAAUACAGAGGGUGCGAGCGUUAAUCGGAUUUACUGGGCGUAAAGCGUGCGUAGGCGGCUAAUUGAGUCGGAUGUGAAAUCCCCGAGCUUAACUUGGGAAUUGCAUUCGAUACUGGUUAGCUAGAGUGUGGGAGAGGAUGGUAGAAUUCCAGGUGUAGCGGUGAAAUGCGUAGAGAUCUGGAGGAAUACCGAUGGCGAAGGCAGCCAUCUGGCCUAACACUGACGCUGAGGUACGAAAGCAUGGGGAGCAAACAGG
rnacentral:rRNA from 1 species